CAGAGGUAAACGGGUGGGACCUCGAAGUCCAAAGGCGGCGGUGGAUUCAGUCCAGACGUCGUUCGGCCUUGUUAAAGAUCACCCCGCGACGGGGCUCUUUGGUAGGGAACGGGCGUUCGUUUAGGCGCAUUUCCACGCCCCGUCCAAGAGGACGUCGCGACCGGUUGGGAGGCCGUCGUGAGGUCGGCUGGUCAGGUGGCCGCAUUUCGCCCUCGAGGCGAUCUGCGGUGUUAUAGGCCAGCCGGGGGCCCGAGGGGCCGCCCGACCGGGGUCGAGUUAAACCUCUGUCACGUUCCCUUCCGUCGGGAAGCGGCCCUCUGCCCGUGCCGCCUUCGGGAAGGCGCGACGCCAGCAAUGGCGAGCGCGUCCCGCGGGAGGUUUCGGCAUGGAAGGGAUCGCGGGGAGCGGGAGGUCGCGGCGAGUAGGUCGGCAACCCACCCGACCCGUCUUGAAACACGGACCAAGGAGUCUAACGCGUGUGCGAGUCCCCGGGACUUGAACAGGCCCGCGGGCGCAAUGAAGGUGAAGGGCGAUUCGGUCGCCUGAGUUGGGAUCCGGCUUCCUUUUAAAGGGUGCCGGCGCACCAACGGCCCGUCUCGAACCGUUCUCGGUUUGGCGGAGCUAGAGCAUACGCUCUGGGACCCGAAAGAUGGUGAACUAUGCCUGGGCAGGACGA
rnacentral:rRNA from 1 species